GAAGCAAGAACUUUAUAAUAAAAUAUCAAGUAUAAAGAACACAAUCUAAAGGAUUCCAUUCAAAUCUUAAAUAAACUGAUUUGCAUCAGCAGCUCCAUGCUCCAGUGCUCUGGGAGAGUUUAUAGUCCUGACAGUUGAACUCUGGAUGACUGACAGCUGUCCUUCAUCACAACAGAAGACACAGAAAUCCUCCUCAUCAAAAACAUGACUUUGAUCUGCGUCCUCAUCUGGACUCUCCUCUGCUUCACUCAGGGAUCUGAUGGACAAAAUAUUGUUGUGACUCAAUCAGCAGCCAAAUCAGUGCAGCUUGGUCAGACUGUCACUAUUGACUGUAAGGCCAGUAGACAAGUAGCUCUCUGUCGUUAUCCAUCUGGUUACUGUCUGUCCUGGUACCAUCAGAAACCCGGAGAAGCUCCUAAAGCUCUGAUCUACCGGACAUCAGACAGAUUUUCAGGAAUCUCCUCCAGAUUCAGGGGAAGUGGAGCAGGAAAUGGAUUAGACUUCACUCUGACCAUCAGUGGAGUUCAGGCUGAAGAUGCAGGAGUUUAUUACUGUCAGAGUUACCACAGUGGCCCCGUGUUCACACAGUGAAAAAUCAUCGUACAAAAACCUCCCUCAGUCUGACUGAACAGAAACUGAACUUUGUUCUGCAGCUGGAAUCUGCAUCAGACACUGAUACAGUUCACUGAACACAUCAGGCCAGAAAUUAUAUUUCCAUUAAACACAAGAACACAUUCAGUUAUGAGAUUAAGAAAUUAUA